UGGCGUCGCGUGCGCUUAGAAAGUGAUUUAAGUCACGCGCACCUGGAGUACUUUUUGUGAGCUUUGACGUGUGUAUUUUGCGAGACUUAUAUGUGAAUAAUAUCAGGCGUUUUGUAUCAUAUGUAUCAAUAGACCGUUGCUGACCAAAACAUCCGAAGAAAAUCACUCUAAAGUCACUUAUGUGAGUAUUAAAUGUGUUUAUUUAAAUUAGGUAAUUUCCAUGUUUCAUCGAUUAUUUUGUUAAUUCCAGUGUGACAAAGGCGGGAAGAGGGCUAAGCGGAACAAAAUGAACAUAAUGAAUAUACAUCUGUUAUGAUACUAUGCUCGUUAUUUCCAAAAGUUCUACUUGGAAAUUGACAAAAUUUUACAAGAGAUCUUAUACAUUCUUGAAGAAAAAAAACAUGGUACUGUUCUUGAAAUAGAAUCAGACCCCAAGUCAUAUUCAGAAAUACAAAGCCAAAGGACUGUAUAUAUUGCUUUGCGGUAUGUGCAGCUAUAUUCUUGCUUAUCAACGGGUACAUCAUCUCUGAUAAUUAGAUCCGGAAACCAAUAUUUCAAAUGGGUUGACGAUGAAUGUGAUAAAAGACAAUGAAUGAUGAUGAAUAAGCGGAUGCAGAGAUUUCUCUCUUCCAUGACCCUUGACAGGAACUUUAUGCAUCUAAAAAG